ensembl:lncRNA
GCUGACGGUGCAGAUGUGUCUGCCCCAACAAGAGCUGCUUGUUGGAGAUUGUUCCUACUUUGCUUUGUGGGGCUGUCUGCCUUCUUAAAGAAUUGUGAAGUGUGAUGUGACGGCUUUCCUGAUCUGUCCUGUUAAAAAAAAGUGAAGAAAAGGGAAAGGAACAAUAUAAACAGGAGGGGAGCAGCUGUUUAUGAGGGUGGAUAGUGAUAGGACAAGGGGGAAUGGUCUUAAAAUGAGACAGGGGAGGUUUAGGUUGGAUAUGAGGAGGAAGUUUUUCCCCCAGAGGGUGGUGACGCACUGAACAGGUUGCCCAAGGAGGCUGUGGAUGCCCCAUCCCUGCAGGCAUUCAAGGCCAGGCU